AAAAAUCUGCCGAGUCACCGAUCCGGAAAAGCAAAUUUGAAAUUGUCAAUCAUUUUGGGGACUUCUCCCACCGGGUUCGCUAACGGGACACAACCCAACGGAUGCGUUCGAUUGGGAGAGGACCCGGCGCCUGCUGCGGUCACUUUCGGCCGUGUUUGUUCCGGAUGGUGAGCUCGUCUCGCCUGGAGGCGAAAAUCGUUAGGGGCUAAUUUCACUAAGGAUUGUGCUUCUAGAUUACGCGAAUGUCUAUCCCA